AGUGAACGCUGGCGGUAGGCCUAACACAUGCAAGUCGAACGGCAGCACAGUAAGAGCUUGCUCUUACGGGUGGCGAGUGGCGGACGGGUGAGGAAUACAUCGGAAUCUACUUUUUCGUGGGGAAUAACGUAGGGAAACUUACGCUAAUACCGCAUACGACCUACGGGUGAAAGCAGGGGAUCUUCGGACCUUGUGCGAUUGAAUGAGCCGAUGUCGGAUUAGCUAGUUGGCGGGGUAAAGGCCCACCAAGGCGACGAUCCGUAGCUGGUCUGAGAGGAUGAUCAGCCACACUGGAACUGAGACACGGUCCAGACUCCUACGGGAGGCAGCAGUGGGGAAUAUUGGACAAUGGGCGCAAGCCUGAUCCAGCCAUACCGCGUGGGUGAAGAGGGCCUUCGGGUUGUAAAGCCCUUUUGUUGGGAAAGAAAAGCAGCAGGUUAAUACCCCGCUGUUCUGACGGUACCCAAAGAAUAAGCACCGGCUAACUUCGUG
rnacentral:rRNA from 1 species